rnacentral:lncRNA from 1 species
GCCAGUCACACUGAAGAUAUUCUCAUGUAACAAGGACUUUACGAGAUUCUGCAAGCUAAUAGUUUAAAAGGUAAUAACAAGUGUUUGCAAUUUUCUCCGGCCCAAGUUGCUCCUUCAACUUAGCAUUCGCCUUCUUUCACAGCUUUUCCUUCACAUUCUUUACUAGCCCCACCUCUUCUUUUGCUUUCAUAGCCUCCAUUUUGAUCUCAAUAAUCACACCAUCGUUAGAAAUUGUUAUCGAGCCAUUCCCCACUAUAUGUUUAGCAUGUUCCUUAUUUGAUACCCUAUGAUUCUUGGGCUCUGAUAAUUGCAAAUGUGAAAGCACCCUUACAGGUUACAAUUUCAUGACGAAGAGAGGAAAAGGAGAUUAAAAAUUUGUCUGAUCUUCCAAACAAUGGCUGCAACUACAUCAUCCUCGUACAUGUAAUAACCGACGGCGGGAAAGCUUGUUGGUGUGAUGGUAGUAGGUUGCAUGGGGAGUAAUUGUAUUUUCCAUAAAAGCGAAGCCAAAUUGCCGAGCCCAAAAAUGAUUGGUCCACAAUGCCCAGUGACCCCAAACGAUAGGGGAGAUCUCUGAUAAUUCGCCAAAAAUGAGUAACUUGAAAAACUAGUGUUCG